GAAUCUCUGACAUGCUCUGACAAAUGUCUGAACUGGAAGACCAAGAGACCAAGACUCUGCUUUUCACUGCAGCGAACCCCAGCAGAUUUUCAUUUGAAUUUUUAUAUGGUGAUCCCUUAUCCAGCAGUGUGCUAGAUGUUGACUUGAAUGGCAAAGUCAGAUGAAACGUUAAGGUAAGCUUAACUUUUCAGUACUGUUGGAAGAGGUGCUUCUGCUGUCAGACUCAUUUCAGAUUACUUUGUACUUUCUUUUUUGCUCAUAGACUUUUCAAUAGUUACUGUUACUGGAUGAGCCAGUUCAGCUCCGCUUAUCAGGCAGAAAGUUACACAACUGCAGAUCUUUCCCCUUCCUCCCUUCCUCCCUUCCCUUCCUUCCUUCCUUCAACAAAAUAGAUUCUGUAAGCAAUCUAGGGGAAAAUUUCUGUUGGAACAGAGAAAGCACAACAGUGUGUUAUUUGGUAGUUGCAACCCAUUAAAUCAGGUCACCCCACCUUGCCUGACUGCCUUGUAAGUAAUCCUCUUGCCCACACAAGCAACAUAUUGUGUGACAGACAUGAGAUCCAAAGAUGAUAUAUAUGAAUUAUUUUAAUGACACAGGUUAAUGUUACAGAAUGUUGACAUGUCUCUUACGGUUUUCUAGUAAUUAUGUACACCCACCUUCCAUGGAUACUGUAACAAUAACACAGUAAUACUGUCACUAGCAAGCCUAGCAAGACUUCUCUGAUUCUAAACAAAUAACUAGCAGCAUUUCUAAAGUUUAACAAGCUAAUAGCUGUCCUGCACAGUAUGAGAAAACUUCAAAAACGUUUUUUUUAACCCUUAUUAUUAAAGAUGAACCUCAAUUUUAUAUAAGAAAAGUUCUCUUGUAUGAAAUAUUGAUGCCCUUUUUUUUUAAAGAAGGACCAUUUUAAGUGAAAAAUUAUUAACAUGGGAAUUUUUUUUUAAUAUAGAUUUUGGGGUCCAAGUAUUUUCCAAAUCAUUUCAGUAGGUUGUUUUACUUGCUUGCUCUAUAGAAGCUUUAUGUAUUUGUUGUCCUUGGUUACCCGCUAUUUUUUCCCAGGUUAAUGAAAGUGUUGUUCACUUGCUCUAUUAACAUGAUUUUUUUUCAGUGAAGCUCAUACAGGCACAGAGAAGUUCUUCUUAAUAUGAGAGUACAGUGGCACAAUCCACUGAGCGUAUAUGGUAAAACCAAGAAAAAAAGCCUACUUUUGAGCCAGAGUUUUAAUGAUUUAUGACAAUGGGAGUAAAGUUAACUGUGAGCCUCCUGAAGGUAUUGUUAGUUCAAGAGCUAUACAAUAUAUGUGCGAUGCCAUGUGUGCUUUGAGUGAUACAAAGCCCAGUAGGAGGCAAUUACAUCUGACAGCACCACUUAUUGUUUUAAUUUUAUAAUCUGACUAUCCAUCUCAUGUCAUUCCACUCCUAUACCUGUCAAGACUCACACCGUUGCAUCCCAUCUACAGUCGCCAGCAGUUCCCACUUGGUGAUCUGGCCCAUUAGGCACCAAAAAUGCAUAAAUUCUUUGAUAUUAUGGCCAGCUGUGCUUAACAAAUGGAGUCAUGGAGGAGGGAAGAAGCCAUAGUGCAGUACUGCUGCCAACAGAUAUAUUUCCUUUUAUGGAGGCCCUGCAUUCAAACAAGUGCUUAGUAGGUGGUACACAGCCGCAGUCCAAUGUCAUAGCAUCUUCUUCAUCUAAUUACCCCAGGUGUUGGACGCAUCACUCUCACCAUUUCAAGAGUGACAGUGGAUCUUGCCUGUGGGAAGGGAAGCAUGAGAGGAAUGUCCUAAAUUAUGAUCCCCUCCCUCUAUUGCAUUCCCUAUUUCUCUCUAUUACAUCAUCUCUGAAACCCAACAUGAUAUCAGUGAAAGAGUGCUCACAGAGAAGGUUAAUAUUUUGGGUGGCUCUUCAUCCCUGCUAAGUAUAUUUUAUUCUAGCAAAGUUAUUAACAUUUUUGCUAAUUGUUCAGUGUUAGUGUUAAUAGAAUGAACCAGCAAUAAAAG
ensembl:lncRNA